CCUACGGGAGGCAGCAGUGGGGAAUAUUGGACAAUGGGCGAAAGCCUGAUCCAGCCAUGCCGCGUGUGUGAAGAAGGCCUUCGGGUUGUAAAGCACUUUCAGUGGGGAAGAAAGCCUUGGGGCUAAUACCCUCGAGGAAGGACAUCACCCACAGAAGAAGCACCGGCUAACUCCGUGCCAGCAGCCGCGGUAAUACGGAGGGUGCGAGCGUUAAUCGGAAUUACUGGGCGUAAAGCGCGCGUAGGCGGUCUGAUAAGCCGGUUGUGAAAGCCCCGGGCUCAACCUGGGAACGGCAUCCGGAACUGUCGGGCUAGAGUGCAGGAGAGGAAGGUAGAAUUCCCGGUGUAGCGGUGAAAUGCGUAGAGAUCGGGAGGAAUACCAGUGGCGAAGGCGGCCUUCUGGACUGACACUGACGCUGAGGUGCGAAAGCGUGGGUAGCAAACAGGAUUAGAUACCCGUGUAGC
rnacentral:rRNA from 1 species